GGAUCGUUGGUCUAGGGGUAUGUUUCUCGCUUAGGGUGCGAGAGGUCCCGGGUUCAAUUCCCGGACGAGCCC
rnacentral:tRNA from 1 species